UUGUGAAAUGUUGGGUUAAGUCCCGCAACGAGCGCAACCCUUAUCCUUUGUUGCCAGCGGUCCGGCCGGGAACUCAAAGGAGACUGCCAGUGAUAAACUGGAGGAAGGUGGGGAUGACGUCAAGUCAUCAUGGCCCUUACGACCAGGGCUACACACGUGCUACAAUGGCGCAUACAAAGAGAAGCGACCUCGCGAGAGCAAGCGGACCUCAUAAAGUGCGUCGUAGUCCGGAUUGGAGUCUGCAACUCGACUCCAUGAAGUCGGAAUCGCUAGUAAUCGUGGAUCAGAAUGCCACGGUGAAUACGUUCCCGGGCCUUGUACACACCGCCCGUCACACCAUGGGAGUGGGUUGCAAAAGAAGUAGGUAGCUUAACCUUCGGGAGGGCGCUUACCACUUUGUGAUUCAUGACUGGGGUGAAGUCGUAACAAGGUAACCGUAGGGGAACCUGCGGUUGGA
rnacentral:rRNA from 1 species